AUCCUGUUGAUCUCCUGGUCCACCCGGGCGGCGGCCUUCUCAUCCUCCGUCAGGCACCAGGGGCAGCAGCGCCAGAUUUACAAUGGACUUUUUAAAUCCUAAAAAUCAGCCAGACACGGUGGCUCAUGCCUGUAAUCCCAGCACUUUGGGAGGCCGAGGCAGGCAGAUCACGAGGUCAGCAGUUCGAGACCAGCCUGGCCAACAUGGUGAAACCCCGUCUCUACUAAAAAUACAAAAAAUUAGCCGGGCCUGGUGGCACGCGCCUGUAAUCCCAGCUACUCGGGCGGCUGAGGCAGGAGAAUCACUUGAACCCAGGAGGCAGAGGUUGAGGUGAGCAGAGAUUGCACCACUGCACUCCAGCCUGAGCAACAGAGCAAGACUCCAUCUCAAAAAAAAAAAAAAUUCCUCAAAAUCAUGGUGAAUUUUUGCCAGUUUUGAACUUUAUGCAUACAGAAUUACACAAAAUGAGUUCAGGUGCACAGCGGCACGAUUGCCAACAGCCACAAGGUGGAAACCACCCAGACGUCCAUCGAUGACAGAUGGAUCAACACAGUGUGGCCCAUCCACACAGUGGAAUAUUACUGAACCACAAAAAGGAAGGGAAUCCGGACACGGGCUUCAGCGUGGAUGCACCUUGAGGACAUCACGCUCAGUGAGAGACGCCAGAGACACAGAAGGACACACCCCGCAUGGUUCCACUCCUAGGAGGUCCAUAGAGCCGUCAGAUUCAUGGAGACAGAAGGAAAAAAUAACUGAAGGAAGGCUGCAGAGGUCCCACAUCCGCAGCUUACAGAAACAGCGGCCCGGAGGGCAUGACAUCCCC